rnacentral:rRNA from 1 species
ACAAGCGGUGGAGCAUGUGGUUUAAUUCGAUGAUACGCGAGGAACCUUACCUGGGCUCAAAUGUAUGUUGACGUAUUCUGAAAGGGAUACUCUUUCGGACAAUAUACAAGGUGCUGCAUGGUUGUCGUCAGCUCGUGCCGUGAGGUGUCGGGUUAAGUCCCAUAACGAGCGCAACCCCUAUCAUUAGUUGCCAUCAGGUCAAGCUGGGGACUCUAAUGAAACUGCCUACGCAAGUAGUGAGGAAGGUGGGGAUGACGUCAAAUCAGCACGGCCCUUACGUCCAGGGCUACACACGUGCUACAAUGGCCGGCACAGCGGGAAGCGAGGCAGUGAUGCCAAGCGGAUCCCUUAAAGACCGGUCUCAGUUCGGAUUGAAGUCUGCAACUCGACUUCAUGAAGCUGGAAUCGCUAGUAAUCGCAGAUCAGCCAAGCUGCGGUGAAUACGUUCCCGGGCCUU